GAUGAACGCUGGCGGCGUGCCUAAUACAUGCAAGUCGAGCGAACGGACGAGAAGCUUGCUUCUCUGAUGUUAGCGGCGUACGGGUGAGUAACACGUGGAUAACCUACCUAUAAGACUGGGAUAACUUCGGGAAACCGUAGCUAAUACCGGAUAAUAUUUUGAACCGCAUGGUUCAAAAGUGAAAGACGGUCUUGCUGUCACUUAUAGAUGGAUCCGCGCUGCAUUAGCUAGUUGGUAAGGUAACGGCUUACCAAGGCAACGAUGCAUAGCCGACCUGAGAGGGUGAUCGGCCACACUGGAACUGAGACACGGUCCAGACUCCUACGGGAGGCAGCAGUAGGGAAUCUUCCGCAAUGGGCGAAAGCCUGACGGAGCAACGCCGCGUGAGUGAUGAAGGUCUUCGGAUCGUAAAACUCUGUUAUUAGGGAAGAACAUAUGUGUAAGUAACUGUGCACAUCUUGACGGUACCUAAUCAGAAAGCCACGGCUAACUACGUG
rnacentral:rRNA from 1 species